UACGUAGGGGCCGAGCGUUGUCCGGAGUUACUGGGCGUAAAGCGCGCGCAGGCGGUCGUCUAAGCCUACCGUGAAAGCCCCCGGCUCAACCGGGGAGGGUCGGUGGGGACUGGGCGACUUGAGGACGGCAGGGGCUGGUGGAAUCCCCGGUGUAGUGGUGAAAUGCGUAGAGAUCGGGGGGAACACCCGUGGCGAAGGCGGCCAGCUGGGCCGGUCCUGACGCUGAGGCGCGAAGGCGUGGGGAGCGAACAGG
rnacentral:rRNA from 1 species